GAUGAACGCUAGCUACAGGCUUAACACAUGCAAGUCGAGGGGCACUAGGGCAGUAGCAAUACUGUUGCUGGCGACCGGCGCACGGGUGAGUAACACGUAUCCAAUCUUCCCAUCACACGGGUAUAGCCUUUCGAAAGAAAGAUUAAUCCCCGAUAGUAUAGAUUUCGGGCAUCCGAACUCUAUUAAAGGAUUCCGGUGACGGAUGAGGAUGCGUUCCAUUAGUUUGUUGGCGGGGUAACGGCCCACCAAGACUACGAUGGAUAGGGGUUCUGAGAGGAAGGUCCCCCACAUUGGAACUGAGAUACGGUCCAAACUCCUACGGGAGGCAGCAGUGAGGAAUAUUGGUCAAUGGUCGCAAGACUGAACCAGCCAAGUAGCGUGAAGGAUGACUGCCCUAUGGGUUGUAAACUUCUUUUAGAUGAGAAUAAAGUGGAGUAUGUAUACUCCUUUGUAUGUACCAUCAGAAUAAGGAUCGGCUAACUCCGUGCCAGCCGCCGCAGUAACAC
rnacentral:rRNA from 1 species